UACGUAGGCAGCAAGCGUUGUUCGGAGUUACUGGGCGUAAAGGGUGUGUAGGCGGUUGUUUAAGUUUGGUGUGAAAUCUCCCGGCUCAACCGGGAGGGUGCGCCGAAUACUGAAUGACUAGAGUGUGGGAGAGGUGAGUGGAAUUCCUGGUGUAGCGGUGAAAUGCGUAGAUAUCAGGAGGAACACCGGUGGUGUAGACGGCUCACUGGACCAUAACUGACGCUGAGACACGAAAGCGUGGGGAGCAAACAGG
rnacentral:rRNA from 1 species